rnacentral:rRNA from 1 species
CAGUCGCCGCGGUAAUACAGAGGAUGCAAGCGUUAUCCGGAAUGAUUGGGCGUAAAGCGUCUGUAGGUGGCUUUUCAAGUCCGCCGUCAAAUCCCAGGGCUCAGCCCUGGACAGGCGGUGGAAACUACCAAGCUGGAGUACGGUAGGGGCAGAGGGAAUUUCCGGUGGAGCGGUGAAAUGCGUAGAGAUGUGGAGGAAUACCGAUGGCGAAGGCAGCCCCCUGGGCCAAUACUGACGCUCAUGCACGAAAGCGUGGGGAGCAAACAGGAUUAGAUACCCCCGUAGUCCCUGUCUCUUAUAC